UACGGGGGGGGCAAGCGUUGUUCGGAAUUACUGGGCGUAAAGGGCUCGUAGGCGGCCAACUAAGUCGGACGUGAAAUCCCCAGGCUCAACCUGGGAACUGCGUCCGAUACUGGAUGGCUUGAAUCCGGGAGAGGGAUGCAGAAUUCCAGGUGUAGCGGUGAAAUGCGUAGAUAUCUGGAGGAAUACCGGUGGCGAAGGCGGUUCUCUGGGCCUGUACUGACGCUGAGGAGCGAAAGCGUGGGGAGCGAACAGG
rnacentral:rRNA from 1 species